rnacentral:tRNA from 1 species
CCUGGCCCUGGUCGGGCCGGGCCCGCCCGCUCCGGCCGGGCGGUGGCGAACGUUUCUGCGCGCGGUACUGCUCUACGGCCCGGUG